ACUGCCCCACGCGAGCAGUUGCUGCAGUGUAUUCAAAUGGCUGAGAGAGGGUUUUGAACCAGCGAUUAUGUGGCUCACUUGGGAGUGUACGUCACGUUACCCAGGAGCAGUUUUCUUACAAGGCUCUGGGAAGCUGAGCAUCCUUCCUCUGUGGAGAAUAGAGCUGCUGUUCUAGGACCAAACUUCACUGUGACAAACGUCUCCAGUUUUAAACCAUCUCCUAGAGAAGGGCAAACCUCAGAAGUACUUCGGGUUUGGUUCCAGACCACCACAAUAAAGCUAAUCUCAC